rnacentral:misc_RNA from 1 species
UCCUCCUUACAGAGGCAGUUUUGUCCGAGUUCCCGACAUUACUCGCUGGCAACAGACAAUGAGGGUUGCGCUCGUUGCGGGACUUAACCCAACAUUUCACAACACGAGCUGACGACAGCCAUGCACCACCUGUGCAGGACCCUUGCGGACCCGACAUCUCUGCCGGAUUUCCCUGCAUGUCAAGCCUUGGUAAGGUUCUUCGCGUUGCAUCGAAUUAAGCCGCAUGCUCCGCCGCUUGUGCGGGCCCCCGUCAAUUCCUUUGAGUUUUAACCUUGCGGCCGUACUCCCCAGGCGGUCAACUUCACGCGUUAGCUUCGUUACCAAGGAAUUGCUUCCCCGACGACCAGUUGACAUAGUUUAGGGCGUGGACUAC